GAUGAACGCUGGCGGCGUGCUUAACACAUGCAAGUCGAACGAUGAAGCCCAGCUUGCUGGGUGGAUUAGUGGCGAACGGGUGAGUAACACGUGAGUAACCUGCCCUUAACUCUGGGAUAAGCCUGGGAAACUGGGUCUAAUACCGGAUAGGAGCGCCUACCGCAUGGUGGGUGUUGGAAAGAUUUAUCGGUUUUGGAUGGACUCGCGGCCUAUCAGCUUGUUGGUGAGGUAAUGGCUCACCAAGGCGACGACGGGUAGCCGGCCUGAGAGGGUGACCGGCCACCCUGGGACGGAGACACAGCCCAGACACCUACGGGAGGCAGCAGUGGGGAAUAUUGCACAAUGGGCGCAAGCCUGAUGCAGCGACGCCGCGUGAGGGAUGACGGCCUUCGGGUUGUAAACCUCUUUCAGUAGGGAAGAAGCGAAAGUGACGGUACCUGCAGAAGAAGCACCGGCUAACUACGUGCCAGCAGCCGCCGUAA
rnacentral:rRNA from 1 species